rnacentral:rRNA from 1 species
UACGGAGGAUCCAAGCGUUAUCCGGAUUUAUUGGGUUUAAAGGGUGCGUAGGCGGCCUAUUAAGUCAGGGGUGAAAGACGGUAGCUUAACUAUCGCAGUGCCUUUGAUACUGAUGGGCUUGAAUGUACUUGAGGUAGGCGGAAUGUGACAAGUAGCGGUGAAAUGCAUAGAUAUGUCACAGAACACCAAUUGCGAAGGCAGCUUACUAAAGUAUGAUUGACGCUGAGGCACGAAAGCGUGGGGAGCAAACAGG